CACUUUUCACACAGUGAUUUCUAGCAAAUUAUCAGUUUUAUUGAAGAAUAUUUUCAUCCUGAUGAGGACUAAAAAUUCACAGAGCCAGAAGAAAGCGACUUCCAUCAUGGAAAAUUGUGCUGCUGAAGUCCAAGACAGCCUCACAGCAAAGAGAGUCUCUGCACAGCUAUCAGAGAGGAGGAGAAAGCCUGGAGCCUGUAGACGGUGUCAGUGCUUCAAGGAUGAGCAGCACACUCAAGUGAAACGCCAGCGCUCUCCAAGUGCAGACAUCCUUCCCCAGAAAAGGAGAAAAACCAAGGCCUCCACCUCAGAUGCAGACGACACACUCACAAGACCAUCAGCCACCAUCCCUGAUGCUGAGCUGCCUCCGGUCUCAAAUACAGCCCCCAACCUCCAACCUUCUACUGUUGUACCUCGGCCAGCAGGUGUACCAUGAAGUGGUCGAUGAUAUGCUGAGAGACAAGAACGGACAGCUCCGUCCAUACAGUUUGGAGCUGGGACGCCUCAUAAAGAAGAAGCUAUGGGAGAGACUGAACCGUCACACAAUGAUUAUGUCUACUGAUGAAGACGGCCGCCUUCACGUGGAUGUGACUUACGGAGUUGAAGAGUGUCCUCCUGAAUUUAAUGUGGAUACUACGGAAGAACCCGAGUGCUGAACUGA